rnacentral:rRNA from 1 species
UACGUAGGGACCGAGCGUUGUCCGGAAUCAUUGGGCGUAAAGAGCGUGUAGGCGGCCACUUAAGUCCUGCGUGAAAUCCUGCGGCUCAACCGCAGGCGGUCGUGGGAAACUGGGUGGCUAGAGUGCGGGAGAGGAGAGUGGAAUUCCUGGUGUAGCGGUGGAAUGCGCAGAUAUCAGGAAGAACACCCGUGGCGAAGGCGGCUCUCUGGAACGCAACUGACGCUGAGACGCGAAAGCGUGGGGAGCAAACUGG